rnacentral:rRNA from 1 species
UACGGAGGGUGCGAGCGUUGUCCGGAAUCACUGGGCGUAAAGGGCGCGUAGGUGGCGGAGUAAGCGUGCGGUGAAAGCUCGGGGCUCAACCCCCGAGUCGGCCGUGCGAACUGCUCUCGCUCGAGCAUUGUAGAGGCAGAUGGAAUUCCGGGUGUAGCGGUGGAAUGCGUAGAGAUCCGGAAGAACACCGGUGGCGAAGGCGGUCUGCUGGGCAAUGGCUGACACUGAGGCGCGACAGCGUGGGGAGCAAACAGG